AAGCUUUGUUUUUUCGCUCUUUGCAAUGAAUCUUGCUACUGCUCACUCUUUGGGUCCACGCUGCUUUUAUGAGCUGUAACACUCACCACGAAGAUCUGCAGCUUCACUCCUGAGCCCAGCAAGACCCCGAGCCCACCAGGAGGAACGAACAACGCCAGACGCGCUACCUUAAGAGGUGUAACACUCACCGCGAAGGUCUGCAGCUUCACUCCUGAGCCAGAGAGACCACGAACCCACCAGAAGGAAGAAACUCCCAACACAUCUGAACAUCAGAAGGGACAGACUCCAGACGCGCCACCUUAAGAGCUGUAACACUCACUGUGAGGGUCUGCGGCUUCAUUCUUCAAGUCAGUGAGACCAAGAACCCACCAAUUCCGGACACACUACUGUUGCAGAAGUGUGUCCUUGUCAAGCAUUUACAGACAAGAGUGGAGAAAAAUGGAAACUCAU
rnacentral:lncRNA from 1 species